CGGCCCAUCCGUUGUCUUUCCUGGUACGCAUGUGCCAUGGCUUUCUCGUAAGGGACUGGAUUGUCCGUAUUUCUCAUGUGUAUAGGGAAGCUAAUCGUCUUGUAGAUGGGUUG